rnacentral:rRNA from 1 species
UACGGGGGAGCAAGCGUUGUUCGGAUUUACUGGGCGUAAAGGGCGCGUAGGCGGCCACCGCAAGUCGACUGUGAAAUCUCCGGGCUUAACCCGGAAAGGUCAGCCGAUACUGCGGGGCUAGAGUGCAGAAGGGGCAACUGGAAUUCUCGGCGUAGCGGUGAAAUGCGUAGAUAUCGAGAGGAACACCUGCGGCGAAGGCGGCUCUCUGGGACGGUACUGACGCUGAGACGCGAAAGCGUGGGGAGCAAACAGG